AUAAAAAGGCGGCACAGGGACACUGAGAGGCUGCGGUGCGGGAAUGGAGGGUGACACAAGGAGGCUGAGAGGCAGAAGGGUCUGUAGGAGUAAAAAGGGAGGCACAGGGACACUGAGAGGCUGCAAUGGGGAGCUUGAGGGUGACACAAGGAGGCUGAGAGGCAGAAGGGGUCUGUAGGAGUAAAAAGGGGAGCACAGGGACACUGAGAGGCUGCAAUGGGGAGCUGGAGGGUGACACAUGGAGCCUGAGAGGCAAGGGGUGCCUUGAGGGACAAAGUGGAGGGUGCCUGAGGGUGACAGGUGAACAAGCCCUAAGCUCACCCCAAACAGCACCCCAAGAACACCAGUUUUCCCCAGCAGCAGCUGCAGGCAGUGACCCUAAUGCUGGGACAGCCCCAGAACCCUCCCAGCAGCUGCAGGCAGUGACUUUAAUUAAAAGGCAUGGAUGGUGUCUGGGACUGAGCACUUUUUAAGGUAUUUUUUAAAGUGUUUUUAAAGGGUGUUUGAGGGGUUUUCUCACAGAAGCUCUUGAGGAACUUUCUGGGAGGUUUUAGGCUACUUCUAGGGUAUUUUCAGGGUUUUUAAAAGAUUUAUUUAAGGUGCUUCAAGGGCUUUCUUAGUACUAAUUAGAAUUUCUAUGGGUUUUUUUUCUGGGGUGUUCUUGGGGCUUUUUUAAGACUAUUUAAAAAUUUUUAGGGCUUUUUUAGGACUAUUGGGGGUAUGUGGAGGACUCUUAGGACCAGAGUAUUUUUAGGUUUUUUGAGGGAAGUUUUAUGGUUUUUAGGGUCUUAUCAGUCUGUUUUAAGGAUUUUGGGGCUAUUUUUAGAGCUCUUUUAGGAAUGUUUAGGGAUUUUUAAAGGUUCUUUGGGGAUUUUUAGGGGUGGUUUAGGGUUUUUUAAAGUAGGGUAAUUUUAUUGUAUUUUAAGGGUAUUCUGAGCUUAUUUUUAUGAUUUUGUGGGGGUUUUAGGACAUAGCGAGGAUGAGGGUGUUUUUAGGGCAUUUUAAUGUUUUUUUAGGGUCUUUUCAUGGCAUAGAGGCUGAGGGGCAGCUUGAGGGGCACUGUGGGGGUUUGAGGGUGACAGAGGCUGGGAGCUGAGGGAGGAACAGGGGGAGGGGACAGUGGGUGACACAGGGAGAUGCUGAGGGGGACAGGGGCAGCUGGAGGGUGACACAGAGAAGCAGCUAUCAUUUCCCUGAAGAGUUUUCUUCUGUAUCCAGCCCAUUAUUCCCCUUGAACUCAAAUCAGAGGAGCCAAACAGCCACAGCUGCUCUGAAUCAGCCCAAUCAGGGGUAUAUUAACCCCAGCCUUUGCUAAGAGGCUUCAUUUUGUCUUUGGGAUCCACUGGGGUAAGUGCUCUCCUCUCAUUUUUGUGAAGAGGCUCUUUCAGCUUAUCUCUGUUUGUUCUCUGCAGGUGUUUUGGGCUUCUAAUGCAACAGAGGCUUUGAAGAUACUGUGAGGAAAACAACACUGAACACAGGAGGAGUGCAACUUCCUGUAAUUCCAGGUUGUGUCGAGUACAGCAUUUUUUCAGCAGAGUGAUCAUGUUCCAAAAGAGAUCUGCCCUGUGUCAAAGAUGAUGUCUGAGAUUGAGGCUUCAGGUGAGUUGAGGAUUGGGACUAGGAGUGGGAGAGUGAGCAGGGUACCAAGUUAAGAGUUAUCAUGGUGGGGUUUUGCAGGCAGUAGGGUGAGAAAUGGUGUCUAUUUGCAAGGCUUUUCACAAGUAUAGCAGAGGCAUCCGUGUGUCAUACAGCACACAAGCUCAUCCACUGAACUCACAGAAAUGCCAUGUAACUUUGCCUCUCUAAACCAGGUGCUACUCAUAAUAACAGCCAAACCUUAGACUAGGGAUGGAACUGGAGACUUGAGCACCCAAGCACACUCAGGAGAGGAUAAGUAUCUGACUUGCUGGGAUUUGGCCCACAUAACACUAAACUCAACCAUUGAUUUUCCUGUUCUUUAUUCUAGCUGAAUAAGAGGCCAACAGGAGAUCCCCUCCGAGGCAGACUCAUUUCAGGUCCAACGUGGAUUCGCAUUUCCAGUCAUCCAAAAGAUAAGUUGGGUCCAUGGCCUGGGGAUGGGAGUAGUGGCCCCCUUCGGCAGCCGAUGGGGAUUUGAAUCCCCAGAUAUGUGCAAGAUAAAUCAAGAGCUACAACCCACAGAGGGGAUGGAAGCGAAGUGCCAGGUUGGGACUCCCCAGGAGGGGUUUUUGAGUCAGUUUUAGAGAUGAGGAUGUCCAAGAAGUGUCUCCUUAGGCCAGCUAAAGGAAAAGUGUCUGUUUUGAUCUCGGUGCUGAGGUGCGCAGG